GCUCGUUUUGCUUUCCCGGUCUAGCCGAUUUAGCCGUUUCUAAUCGGCAACUCGCUCGAUUGGCCAUCCCGCCGUCCCGUCGGCUUAACCGGGACCUGCCGAUCGCCCCGAAAAAAUUUCAGCGGGACAAUCGGGACAAGAUGGCGGCUUGAAAGAUGGACGUAACACCAAAGUGGACCUGCUUUUUGUGUGCCCAGCCAGCUCCAUUCCACUCUCUUGCUUCACUAGAAGCGCAGGAAAAAUCUGGAAACACAGAGAUAUAUAUAGACGGUGAUUACAAGAUUUAUUUGCGCUGCCCGUCCUGCAGGAGGUGUUUUCAUCCAAGCUGGAAAGGCAAGGGGAAAAUGAAA